GAUCAUGGCUCAGGAUUAACGCUGGCGGCGUGCCUAAUACAUGCAAGUCGAAUGGUAGCAAUACCAUGGCGAACGGGUGAGUAACACGUAGGUAACCUGUCUUUAAGCCGAGGAUAACCAUUGGAAACGAUGGAUAAUACUGGAUAGGAUAUUUUAAGGCAUCUUUUAAUAUUUAAAGAUUUAUCACUUAGAGAGGGGCCUGCGGCGCAUUAGCUAGUUGGUGAGGUGAAGGCUUACCAAGGCGAUGAUGCGUAGCCGGACUGAGAGGUUGAACGGCCACAAUGGAACUGAGAACGGUCCAUACUCCUACGGGAGGCAGCAGUAGGGAAUUUUCGGCAAUGGGCGGAAGCCUGAACCCGAGCAACGCCGCGUGAACGAAGAAGUAUUUCGGUAUGUAAAGUUCUUUUAUUAGGGACGAAAAGACAGAUUGACGGUACCUAAUGAAUAAGCUCCGGCUAACUACGUGCCAGCAGCCGC
rnacentral:rRNA from 1 species